rnacentral:misc_RNA from 1 species
AACGCAUAUUGCGCCCUCUGGUAUUCCGGGGGGCAUGCCUGUCCGAGCGUCAUUAUCCACAACUCAAGCACGGCUUGUUUGUUGAGCAAUUUGCUCUGUUAUGGAGCAGGCUUGAAAUGCAGUGGCGAACGAUACUGGAGUUUGGUGCCCGAGUGUUAUGGGGCUUUGUCACGCACUCCUGUGGCCCAGCCGGCGUUCUGCUGAAACCCCCCCUUACUUUAAAAGCUAGGUUGACCUCGGAUCAGGUAAGAGUACCCGCUGAACUUAA